rnacentral:rRNA from 1 species
GAUGAACGCUAGCUACAGGCUUAACACAUGCAAGUCGAGGGGUAACGAGAGGAAAGCUUGCUUUCCUUGUCGACGACCGGCGCACGGGUGAGUAACGCGUAUCCAACCUGCCCCCAACUAGGGAAUAACCUUGCGAAAGUAAGACUAAUACCCUAUAAUUUCCUCAGAUGACAUCUGACGAGGAAUAAAGAUUUAUCGGUUGUGGAUGGGGAUACGUCUGAUUAGCUUGUUGGCGGGGUAACGGCACACCAAGGCAACGAUCAGUAGGGGUUCUGAGAGGAAGGUCCCCCACAUUGGAACUGAGACACGGUCCAAACUCCUACGGGAGGCAGCAGUGAGGAAUAUUGGUCAAUGGGCGAAAGCCUGAACCAGCCAAGUAGCGUGCAGGAUGACGGCCCUAUGGGUUGUAAACUGCUUUUAUACAGGAAUAAAGUUAGCCACGUGUGGUUAUUUGUAGGUACUGUAUGAAUAAGGACCGGCUAAUUCCGUGCCAGCCGCCGCGGUAA